UACGAAGGGGGCUAGCGUUGCUCGGAAUUACUGGGCGUAAAGGGCGCGUCGGCGGCACUGUUAGUCAGGCGUGAAAGUCCUGGGCUCAACCUGGGAACUGCGCUUGAUACGGCAGAGCUAGAGGAUGGAAGAGGGUCGCGGAAUUCCCAGUGUAGAGGUGAAAUUCGUAGAUAUUGGGAAGAACACCGGUGGCGAAGGCGGCGACCUGGUCCAUUACUGACGCUGAGGCGCGACAGCGUGGGGAGCAAACAGG
rnacentral:rRNA from 1 species